AGACUGAGGACAUGGAAGCUCCAAGAUACUACAGAUCUCCGGAUGACCCUUCUGAAUGAGAUAGGAAAUGGCUUCUUUAGUUGAGCGGAACAGCCACAGAAUUUGGGGUCUCUCACUGGCCUGGAGUUUCCCAAGUAGGUCAGCCUAUCUGGCUAGCAAGUCCCAGGGCCUGACAGUCUUCCCACCACAGUACUGCCAUUACAGGUGUGCCCUGCCACAUACUUCUCUAGAAGCAUCUUGGAUGGUAUGCUGUGUGCCUGCCAUUAGGCAACUAUUGAACCUGUGCAGCACUGCCCAAGGGUCUUGGAAGGGUAUCCUUUGUCAACAUCCAGGUCAAACAGAGAGGAAGGCGGUGUUGCCCUGGCUUCAUCAUCUGCCAGAUAGAGAGUUCUCCAAACUAGCAGGACUGUAGCAGAAGAUCAGGGUGUCAGGGGAUGUUGCUUAUCAUGAUACUAUGAUAACAGUAGCAUUUAUUGGUCAGAACCCUGCAGGUUUCCCUUAAUGCUCACUGCACCGAGGUGAGCUAAUACCUUGAGGCUUGUAUGACCCCUGACCCACCCUGUCCAGCAUCCUGAUUAGGAAAAUGGGGGUUUGAGAAGCUAUGUAACUAGAAGGGGGUGCAGCUGGGAUAAAGUCCAAGUCAGACCAAAAGCAUGUGCUUUCUGUCAUGGGAGACAUGAACUUAAAUUCAUACAUACACACACAUGUAGGACAAGAACUUACAGUGGGACACUGAGAGGGGAUGAUGGGUUCUAAAGGGAAGCAAAGUGGGCAGUGGAGAGUGUAAGCAAUUAAAGCAAGGAUGGAGCUAUCGGGGUAGAGAUGGACAGAGGAUUCCGGAGAAGCCGCUAUCGAGAGGUAAUAAGAGCAAAGUGUAAUAUAUAGAUAUGUGAAGGUGUCCAUACAAAGCCUGAUCUUUGGGUGGCAACCAUAAACACUUUUUAAAAAAGAGUUAGUUACAGGAUAUGUGCAUGGUUGGUGGAUGAAACAAGACAAGUGAAUGUUAGCUCCCAGCAAGUUAGAUAGAGGGCUGCUAUGGUCCAUGUUUCAAGACUUAGCUUCUACAGAGACAGAGGUGAAAGUGAGUCUACUAGGGGAGCUGGACUCAAAUGGUUUGCUCUUGAAGGGGCUUCUGGGAUCCUGGUCUUUCCCUCCUGGUCCAGGGAGGGUUCUGUUUCCUUUCUCACACAACACACACACACACACACACACACACACACACACACACACACAUCCCUCACACAUACACUCACACACACAUACACACACGCACACACCACAUACACACACACAUACACACAUCAUACCACACACACACACACACACACACACAUCCCUCACACACACACUCACGCACACAUACACACACACACACACACACACAUACACACACACACACACACACAUAGACACAUCAUUCCCCCCCCCCCCCCACACACACACAUAGACAUAGGGACCUUUUAGAAUCAUGAAGCAUAAGAAACCACUACCAUCAGGU
rnacentral:lncRNA from 1 species